UACGUAGGGGGCAAGCGUUGUCCGGAUUUAUUGGGCGUAAAGAGCGUGUAGGCGGUUCGGUAAGUCUGUCGUGAAAUCCCUGGGCUCAACCCAGGAACUGCGUCCGAUACUGGUUGGCUUGAAUCCGGGAGAGGGAUGCGGAAUUCCAGGUGUAGCGGUGAAAUGCGUAGAUAUCUGGAGGAACACCGGUGGCGAAGGCGGCAUCCUGGACCGGUAUUGACGCUGAGACGCGAAAGCGUGGGGAGCGAACCGG
rnacentral:rRNA from 1 species